GACGAACCGUGCAAACGUUGUUCGGAAUCACUGGGCUUAAAGGGCGCGUAGGCGGCUUGCCAAGUCAGGGGUGAAAUCUUUCGGCUUAACCGGAAAGUGCUCUGAUACUGGCGAGCUAGAGGGAGGUAGGGGCAUGUGGAACUUCCGGUGGAGCGGUGAAAUGCGUUGAUAUCGGAAGGAACGCCGGUGGCGAAAGCGACGUGCUGGAUCUCUUCUGACGCUGAGGCGCGAAAGCUAGGGGAGCGAACGGG
rnacentral:rRNA from 1 species